CCUACGGGAGGCUGCAGUGGGGAAUAUUGGACAAUGGGGGGAACCCUGAUCCAGCCAUGCCGCGUGGGUGAAGAAGGCCCUCGGGUUGUAAAGCACUUUCAGUGAGGAAGAACGCCUGGUGGUUAAUACCCAUCAGGAAAGACAUCACUCACAGAAGAAGCACCGGCUAACUCCGUGCCAGCAGCCGCGGUAAUACGGAGGGUGCGAGCGUUAAUCGGAAUUACUGGGCGUAAAGCGCGCGUAGGUGGCUUGAUAAGCCGGUUGUGAAAGCCCCGGGCUCAACCUGGGAACGGCAUCCGGAACUGUCAAGCUAGAGUGCAGGAGAGGAAGGUAGAAUUCCCGGUGUAGCGGUGAAAUGCGUAGAGAUCGGGAGGAAUACCAGUGGCGAAGGCGGCCUUCUGGACUGACACUGACACUGAGGUGCGAAAGCGUGGGUAGCAAACAGGAUUAGAUACCCUGGUAGUC
rnacentral:rRNA from 1 species